AAAAGAUGGGUCCAGGGGCACGCGGCGGCUUCAGGUGCGAGGGGCGGUGCCGGUCGGUGCGGGGCUGCAACAGGGGCGUCACUGGUGGCCAUGGCAGCCGCUGCAGGUGCUGCUACCGGAACUUGGCCGACUCGGCCACCUAACCACCGAUAGCAAGCGUCCAAGGGAGUGUGCGGCGCGAGGAUGAGCUGGCGCACAGGAUCAAGCGUCUUUGGCAUCUCUACUUUUGUGAUUGACACUGAACUGAAACAU
rnacentral:lncRNA from 1 species